CCAAUAGCGUAUAUUAGUGUUGUUGCGGUUAAAAAGCUCGUAGUUGAAUUUCGGGAUUGGGAUAUAUCGGUCGUGCCUUUAGGGGCAUGAAUCGGUGUGUGGCCAAUUCUCACCUUCUGGUGAAUUGGGAUGCUCUCGGGUGUUUCAAUGAACUAGGACUUUUACUUUGAAAAAAUCAGAGUGUUUAAAGCGGGCAUUUUGCUUGAAUACGUUAGCAUGGAAUAAUAAAAUAGGACGAUGGUUCUAUUUUGUUGGUUUUAGGACCACGUAAUGAUUAAUAGGGAUAGUUGGGGGCAUUAGUAUUCAAUUGUCAGAGGUGAAAUUCUUGGAUUUAUUGAGGACUAACUAUUGCGAAAGCAUUUGCCAAGGAUGUUUUCAUUAAUCAAGAACGAAAGUUAGGGGAUCAAAGACGAUUUAUGUACGUCGUAGUCUUAACCAUAAACUAUGCCGACUAGGAAUCAGACAAAGUUAAUUUUUUAACGACUUGUUUGGUACCUUACG
rnacentral:rRNA from 1 species